GCUCUGUUCUCUACACUUGGCUACAGACAACUUUUAUUAAGCUCGUAAGUGGGUUCAUGGGUCUACGCUGAUCCAAUCAGAUGGAUAAGAAAGCAAGCAUGAGGAAUGACAGCUUCAACAUCCCAAACAGGGUUUCAAUGCCAGCUGUGACCUGGAGGGAAGGGGGACUUAGGAAUGUGGGUUGUUAGACGUGGACUCUGAAAAUGGCCAUCUCCUUCAGAAACAGGAGCGCGUUUCCACUGCAGCAUCUCCAGGGUUUCUUGUCUCCUCGGUCACCGCCAAGUGCAUGUUGCUCAUCAAGGGAUUCCAUCUUAACCGACAACUCAAUCGGCCCAAAUUACAUGAUGUAUGCAAAUUUCCAUCAGCAAAUCAGCGCGGCUGAUCAUCACUCUCAUCAGGGGGCUGCCCUGGUCUCAGGCUCCUGGGGCCCACCCUCUGUUCACCCUCUGCUGACCAAGGGAGGGGCCCCCUGGGGACCAGGAAGUAGCAGGGAGGGCUGGGCAUUGCCUACCACAGAGUAGAACUGCACCCAGGCAGAGGCUGGGGGAUGAGCCAGGCUCUAAAUGCAAGUUGGGUUCCCACCACCAAUUUCCAACGAGAGCAAACUGAGAAAGGAGCUACCAGCCUCUAACUUUAAGCCCAGGGUCUGGUGACACCUCACAAUGGCACUGUCUAUCAGGGAGGCAGUCCCGUACAGCAGAUAAGAGCUCGGACUCUGGAGCCAGACUGCCUGCGUUCAAAUCCCAGGGCUGCCACUCAUCUGCUGUGUGACCUUGGGCAAUUUGCCUAACCUCUCUCAGCCUCACUUUUCUGUGAAAUGAAGAUAAAACGGCAUCCUCCAUAAGAAAGCCUUCACUAACACGGGGUUGGAAGCGUCUCGCUCAGCGGGAGGUGAGGGGAGAAGACCACACCCAGCACCCCCACCCUGCCCUCCAAGAGAACUCUUCCAUUGUCCUCUUUCCCAUCCCUUCUGGAGGUUCCGAAGCUGAGGUCAGCAUCAUGGAGGGUUAGAAGCAGAAGAGCGUAGAGUCCGUGGCAGCCGUGGUUCAGAUGAGGGACUGGAAGUCUAGCAGGAGGAAAUGAUUUGCACAGACCAAACCC
rnacentral:lncRNA from 1 species